CACUGAGGCCUGGCCAGUACCCAAGGUGGCAAACCCAGUCUGUGCUUUGUGUCCCUCGGUGUGGCCCUGUAGAGAGCUGCCCUGAAUGGGUCCAACCUUGGAGGAGAGCACGGGGAAAGCUCUCCAGAUCACAGAGCUUCGGGAAGGUACUGUCACCUUGAACCUGUUUGAAAAGGCUUCUUCUGUAGAAUAGCUAGAAGGGAGGCCUCACAAGUUUUUCUUUUUUAAGCAAUUUCAAUUUUUAUUAUUUUUUUAUAGAGACAGGAGUCUCACAUUGUUCCCCAUGCUGAUCUCGAACUCCUGGCCUCAAGUGAUCCUCCCGCCUCAGCCUCCCAAUGUGCUGAGAUUGCAGGCAUGAGCCACUGUGCCUGGCCUCCAAUUUUAUUUAGGUUCAGGGGGUACAUGUGCAGGUUUGUUACAUGAGUUUAUUGCGUGAUGCUGAGGUUUGGGGUGCGAAUGACCUCGAUACCCAAGUAGUAAGCACAGUACCCAGUAGAUAGUUUCUCAACCCUUGCCUGCCUCUCUCCAGUCUUGCAGUCCCCAGUGUCUGUUGUUUCCAUCUUUAUGUCCAUAACUAGCUAAUGUUUAGCUCCCACUUACAAGUGAGAACACGCAGUAUUUGAUUUUCUGUUCCUGUGUUAAUUUGCUUAGGAUGAUGGCCUCCAGCCGCAUCCGUGCCACUGCAGAGGACGUGGUUUUGUUCCUUUUUGUGGCUGCAAAGUUUUUCAGUUAACAAGAAAUACCAUAUGGCUUCAUAAAACUUAUUUAUUUUUAUUUAUUUUUUAUUUUUGAGACAGAGUUUUGCUCUUGUCACCCAGGCUAGAGUGCAGUGUCAUGAUGUCAGCUCACUGCAACCUCUGCCUCCUGGGUUCAAGAGAUUCUCUUGCCUCAGCCUCCUAAGUAACUGGGAUUACAGGCAUGCGCCACCACACCUGGCCAAUUUUUAUAUUUUUGCUAGAGACAGGGAUUCGCCAUGUUGGCCAGGCUGGUCUCGAACUCCUGACCUCAGGUGAUCUGCCUGCCUUGGCCUCCCAAAGUGCUGGGAUUACAGGUGUGAGCCACCACGCCUGGACUAUAAAACUUUUAAAAACAGAUCAGGGAAAAAAAAUGUCUUGAGUCCAACAUCCCAGAGAAAACCACAUGGUGAUUGGUCUGCUGCCGUCUCACUGAUGACGAUCAUAGCUCACUACAGCUUCAAACCCCUGAACUCAAGUGAUCCUCCCGCCUCAGCCUCUUGAGUAGCUAGGAUUACCAGUGCACACCAUGAAGUCCAACUACCAUUAUCAUCUUUGUCACCAUCACCAUCAUCUUCAGCAUCAUCACCAUCAUCAUUACUGUCAUUAUCACUCUCACACCACAAUUCCCAGCAUCCUCCUCCUCCUCCUCCUCAUCAUCAUCACCACCUACCUGGGGGAACUGGGAUGGCUCUCUUUCCCAGACCUGUUUCUGGACCUGAUGGCCUAUGAGAUGAUGAUAGAACUAAUCCCGCAGCCCAAAAUGCCGAUAAAUCCAAUCUUGCACCCAGAUGAGUUCUGGCUGAACUGCUCAAGGUCUCUGAGACCCAGCCUUUGCAUUUUGGUCCCACAGAGGCAUCAGCUUCAGUGAGACAGCAGCAGCCGAUGCUGCCCUUGGCUACAUCAUUGCCUUCCUGGUACUCCUGUCCACAGUGAAGCUUUGGCAUCUGCUCAGGUUGAAUCCCAAAAUGAACAUGAUUACGGCAGCCCUACGCCGUGCCUGGGGCAACAUUUCAGGCUUUAUCAUUGUCAUCCUUACCAUGCUCCUGGCUUACUCCAUCGCGGUAAUUAUCUGCUUUGGGAAAAGUUCGGGGCGGGUCUCUGCAGAAACCAAGGCUAAUUGGUGGUGGGAAAGUGGACAGUUAGGGUUAGGGAGACCCUGGGAACCCAAGGAAGGUGGUGGCUCUUGUAAGUACAGGGUCUCUUUGCUGUGAGCUCAUGCACCAGUCAUCUCAAAUGGCAAAGGCUGGAGAGCUCAGGUGGAUAGGGUGAGGAGGCAUAGGCUCUAGUGCUGAAAGGGUCCAGGUUUGGGAAGAAUUCCUUUCUGCCUCUAGACCCCUCCUGGAUAUGCCAGUUAUCCUGGCUUCCCAACUGGUCAGAAGGCACAGGGCUAACUCCUAGACACACACAGAGCACUGCUGCUGUGCUGGGGGAUGGAUGGGGCCACCACGUCCUUGAGUUGGGGCAGAGGUGGGGAUGUGAAGGUAGAUACAUCCACAGGCCAUGCCAGUGCUUGUUGUCCAAGACAUGACUCAUGAGCUUGGGAGGGCCAAUGCCACUUCACUCAGCACUUUAAGAGCACAUUGACAAGCAUGGCCCUGUGUAGAAAAACAUAAAUGAAAACAUUAAAUUUUCUUUUUUGUUGUUGAGACGGAGUCUUGUUCUGCUGCCCAGGUUGGAGUGCAGUGGCACGAUCUAGGCUCACUGCAACCUUCACCUCCCAGGUUCAAGUGAUUCUCUUGCCUCAUUCUCCUGAGUAGCUGGGAUUGCUGGUGCACACCACCAUGCCUGGCUAAUUUUGUAUUUGUAGUAGAGACAGGGUUUCACCAUGUUGGUCAGGCUGGUCUCGAUCUCCUGACUUCAGGUGAUCCACCCACCUCGGCCUCCCAAAGUACUGGGAUUACAGGCAUGAGCGACCGUGCGUGGCUUUUUUUUUUUUUUUUUUUUUUUUGGAUACAGAGUCUCACUCUGUUGCCCAGGCUGGAGUGCAGUGUCACAAUCUCGGCUCACUGCAACCUCUGCCUCCCAGGUUCAAGCGAUUCUCCUGUUUCAGCCUCCUGACUAGCUGGGACUACAGGCAUGUGCCACGACACCCGGCCAAUUUUUGUAUUUUUGGUAAAAACAGUGUUUCAUCAUGUUGGUCUCAAACUCCUGACCUCAGGUAAUCUGCCUACCUUGGCCGCCCAAAGCGCUGGGAUUACAGGCGUGAGCCACCGCGCCCAGCCAAAAACAUUAAAUUUUCAAUUCUUUUUUAUGAUCACGUGAGAAACAAAGCCCCUCUUACAUCCUGGCCCCCACCACAUCCUGAUGUCCUUCUAAAUACACCCCCUACUGCCCACCAUGUUCCCAUGCGAGCCCUGGCCUUCCGUUCAUCUCUGGCCUUUAGCACAACCCUGGCCCACUCCCUACCCCAGGGCCUUCCCCAUUCUCACCCUGGCUCCAUCCAGUCUCUUGCCUUCCUCUCCUCCCUGAUCAUCCUAUCCACGAGCCCAUCGCAUCCUAGUCCCCACUCCACCCCAACCCUCACCCCACUCUGCCUCCCUGUCACCUCAGGCUUGACCCCUUCCAUCCCUAGCCCCACCCGAUCUUCCUUUCCCACUCCUGGAAACAGGUGGGGUGCACUGAGGGAGUGAUGGGGGUGUGUUCUGGAAAGUUGGAGUCUGUGAUUUUGGUGAAAGGUCCCGUCUAAAUCCUAAUGUGGAUUUCUUCAGCCCUCCAUGCAGUGUCUGGGCUGCAGGGACAUUGCAGUGUCCCAUGGGACCAAAAGUCAUCAACUCAGAGACAGAGCCAGGGGCUGCUGGGCCUCCCUCUGACACCGCAGCCUUGGGAAAGUUUUGAGAGUGAGGGGUUGUGGUGAGGGAAAAUGCAGUGAGGGGAGGGCCUCACCCAGGCAGAAGCCCAUCAUCCAUUCAUCCCAGUUCCCCAGAGCGAAGAGUUUGGAGUCGCAGAGUGCCCAGACUCAUUGUCAGGUAUUUGCACCGCAUCUGGGGAACACUGCGGUGGCUUAGCAGGUGGCUGCCUGAGCCCCAGAGGCACCCUGGGCACUCCCUCAUCCUGGUGGGCACAAAGAUAGGCAUCAUCAACAGGCCAUGGACACAAUAAAGGUCCUGGACAAGGUCAUCCAGGCAGCACUUCCAGAAACUUGACACACACAUGCACAUGGAUGCACACACAUGCACACCUACACACAUGCACACAUGCACGUGCAUACACGUACACACAUACAAAUACACACACACAUAUGCACACACAUAAACACUACACAUGGAUACACACACACACAUAUAUACACAUGCAUGUGCACACAAAUACACUACACAUAGAUACACACAUACACAUAUAUACACGUACAUACACAAAAGUGCAUAUGUGCAGAUAUUGAUGCCCACAGGAAUACACGUGUACACUCUCACACAGACACACUUGUGGCCUCGCAUGCACAGACCCACAGAGAGGAACACAUGCUUGCCACAUAGAACCAGUUGUGGACCGGGUGCGGUGGCUCACGCCCAUAAUCCUAUCACUUGGGAGGCCAAGGUGGGUGGAUCACCUGAGAUCCGGAGUUCGAGGCCAGCCUGACCAACAUGGUGAAACCCUGUCUCUAUGAAAAAUAGAAAAAUUAGCCAGACGUGGUGGUGUGUGCCUGUAGUCCCAGCUACUUGUGAGGCUGAGGGAGGAGAAUCGCUUGAACCCAGGAGGCGGAGGCUGCAGUGAGCCCAGAUCGAACCAUUGUACUCCAGCCUGGGUGACAGAGCAAGACUCCAUCUCGCAAAAAAACAAACAAAAACCUGUUGUGUACACACACCUACUUGCACACCCCUGUAGGUACAGUAGCUUGACCAGCCCGGCCAGGGCAGUGGCUGACACAGACCACCCACCUCACUGUGAAACAGCAGGCUGUUUGGGCCUUGGCAGCCUCCUUCCCUGUUCAUGAGAAUUCUUUCCAUGACAGUCGAACUUAAUAUUUGGUUGGAAACUCCGUUCCUACAAAACCCUCUUUGAUGCGGCGGAGACGAUGAUCAGCCUUCAGCUGGGAAUCUUCAACUACGAGGAGGUCCUGGACUAUAGACCAGUGCUUGGCUCCUUCCUCAUUGGGUCCUGCAUCGUUUUUAUGACAUUUGUGGUGCUGAACCUGUUUAUCUCUGUCAUCCUGGUGGCCUUCAGUGAGGAGCAAAAAUACUAUCAGCUGUCAGAGGAAGGGGAGAUCGUAGAUUUGCUGCUGAUGAAAAUACUCAGUUUCCUGGGCAUUAAGUGUAAGAGAAAGGAGCCUGGAAGCAGCAGGGAGCAGCCUGGGUCCCUGUCCCAGACUCGCCACUCUCAACCAGCACAAGCUUUGCCCAAGGUCUAAGCUGUUCGUCCACACACCACCAUCUACCAGUGGGGACGCCCAGGGCCUCGGGCCUACGCUUACCAGCGACUCUAUAGUCUCUCUAGGUCAUAGCUUUCGUGUUCAUUGAAGAAUUACCAAGCCCAGCAAGUAAAAAAAAUUAGAAUAACAGAGAUAUAUGUAAAAUUGCCAAUACUAUGAGAGCUUCUUUGUUCAAAUGUAUUUCCUCUUAUUAUAAAUAAAACAAAUAUUACAUGGAGUUUGGAAAAAACAA
rnacentral:sRNA from 1 species